UACGAAGGGGGCUAGCGUUGCUCGGAAUUACUGGGCGUAAAGGGAGCGUAGGCGGAUAGUUCAGUCAGAGGUGAAAGCCCAGGGCUCAACCUUGGAAUUGCCUUUGAUACUGGCUGUCUUGAGUAUGGGAGAGGUUAGCGGAACUCCGAGUGUAGAGGUGAAAUUCGUAGAUAUUCGGAAGAACACCAGUGGCGAAGGCGGCUAACUGGCCCAUUACUGACGCUGAGGCACGGAAAGCGUGGGAGCAAACAGGGA
rnacentral:rRNA from 1 species